UUGAACGCUGGCGGCAGGCCUAACACAUGCAAGUCGAACGGUAACAGGAAGCAGCUUGCUGCUUUGCUGACGAGUGGCGGACGGGUGAGUAAUGUCUGGGAAACUGCCUGAUGGAGGGGGAUAACUACUGGAAACGGUAGCUAAUACCGCAUAACGUCGCAAGACCAAAGAGGGGGACCUUCGGGCCUCUUGCCAUCGGAUGUGCCCAGAUGGGAUUAGCUAGUAGGUGGGGUAACGGCUCACCUAGGCGACGAUCCCUAGCUGGUCUGAGAGGAUGACCAGCCACACUGGAACUGAGACACGGUCCAGACUCCUACGGGAGGCAGCAGUGGGGAAUAUUGCACAAUGGGCGCAAGCCUGAUGCAGCCAUGCCGCGUGUAUGAAGAAGGCCUUCGGGUUGUAAAGUACUUUCAGCGGGGAGGAAGGGAGUAAAGUUAAUACCUUUGCUCAUUGACGUUACCCGCAGAAGAAGCACCGGCUAACUCCGUGCCAGCAGCCGCGGUAAUACGGAGGGUGCAAGCGUUAAUCGGAAUUACUGGGCGUAAAGCGCACGCAGGCGGUUUGUUAAGUCAGAUGUGAAAUCCCCGGGCUCAACCUGGGAACUGCAUCUGAUACUGGCAAGCUUGAGUCUCGUAGAGGGGGGUAGAAUUCCAGGUGUAGCGGUGAAAUGCGUAGAGAUCUGGAGGAAUACCGGUGGCGAAGGCGGCCCCCUGGACGAAGACUGACGCUCAGGUGCGAAAGCGUGGGGAGCAAACAGGAUUAGAUACCCUGGUAGUCCACGCCGUAAACGAUGUCGACUUGGAGGUUGUGCCCUUGAGGCGUGGCUUCCGGAGCUAACGCGUUAAGUCGACCGCCUGGGGAGUACGGCCGCAAGGUUAAAACUCAAAUGAAUUGACGGGGGCCCGCACAAGCGGUGGAGCAUGUGGUUUAAUUCGAUGCAACGCGAAGAACCUUACCUGGUCUUGACAUCCACGGAAGUUUUCAGAGAUGAGAAUGUGCCUUCGGGAGCCGUGAGACAGGUGCUGCAUGGCUGUCGUCAGCUCGUGUUGUGAAAUGUUGGGUUAAGUCCCGCAACGAGCGCAACCCUUAUGGUCAGUUACUACGCAAGAGGACUCUGGCCAGACUGCCGUUGACAAAACGGAGGAAGGUGGGGAUGACGUCAAAUCAUCAUGCCCCUUAUGAUCUGGGCUACACACGUGCUACAAUGGCGCAUACAAAGAGAAGCGACCUCGCGAGAGCAAGCGGACCUCAUAAAGUGCGUCGUAGUCCGGAUUGGAGUCUGCAACUCGACUCCAUGAAGUCGGAAUCGCUAGUAAUCGUGGAUCAGAAUGCCACGGUGAAUACGUUCCCGGGCCUUGUACACACCGCCCGUCACACCAUGGGAGUGGGUUGCAAAAGAAGUAGGUAGCUUAACCUUCGGGAGGGCGCUUACCACUUUGUGAUUCAUGACUGGGGUG
rnacentral:rRNA from 1 species